ACGGAGGGAGCUAGCGUUGUUCGGAAUUACUGGGCGUAAAGCGCACGUAGGCGGCUAUUCAAGUCAGAGGUGAAAGCCCGGGGCUCAACCCCGGAACUGCCUUUGAAACUAGAUAGCUUGAAUCCAGGAGAGGUGAGUGGAAUUCCGAGUGUAGAGGUGAAAUUCGUAGAUAUUCGGAAGAACACCAGUGGCGAAGGCGGCCAUCUGGGUCAACACUGACGCUGAAGCACGAAAGCGUGGGGAGCAAACAGGA
rnacentral:rRNA from 1 species